CCCAGACUCCUACGGGAGGCAGCAGUGGGGAAUAUUGGGCAAUGGGCGCAAGCCUGACCCAGCAACGCCGCGUGAAGGAAGAAGGCUUUCGGGUUGUAAACUUCUUUUGUCAGGGACGAAGCAAGUGACGGUACCUGACGAAUAAGCCACGGCUAACUACGUGCCAGCAGCCGCGGUAAUACGUAGGUGGCAAGCGUUAUCCGGAUUUAUUGGGUGUAAAGGGCGUGUAGGCGGGAAUGCAAGUCAGAUGUGAAAACUAUGGGCUCAACCCAUAGCCUGCAUUUGAAACUGUAUUUCUUGAGUGCUGGAGAGGCAAUCGGAAUUCCGUGUGUAGCGGUGAAAUGCGUAGAUAUACGGAGGAACACCAGUGGCGAAGGCGGAUUGUUGGACAGUAACUGACGCUGAGGCGCGAAAGCGUGGGGAGCAAACAGGAUUAGAUACCCCCGUAGCC
rnacentral:rRNA from 1 species